GGCAACACCCUUUUAGCUCAGUGGUCGAGCGUUGGCUUUGGAAGCCACAGGUUGGUGGUUCGAACCCACCAGGCCA
rnacentral:tRNA from 1 species